ACAGGUUGAAAUUCUUCUUAGUAAACAUUUGGUUGUUUCCACCAGAUUUGAUAUACAUAGCUACAUCAAACUGACUUGUUCCAGCAACAGGAUUUACCCCUAAUAUUCCUGCAUUAUUGGCCACUGAUUUCUGGCUUUCAUUACUAAUUACCAUAGCAUAAGCUUGGUUAACAGAUGGCAUUGGACUCAUUAGAAAGAUCUGACUCCUAGCUUGCCCAUUGGAAUCAUUUAGCCCCAUCAAGAAUUGAAACAAUUUUAACUUUUGCAGAUGAACUAUAAAAUCUAUUGACUUAGGAC
rnacentral:lncRNA from 1 species